AUUGAACGCUGGCGGCAUGCUUUACACAUGCAAGUCGGACGAGUGGCGAACGGGUGAGUAAUAUAUCGGAACGUACCGAGUAAUGGGGGAUAACUAAUCGAAAGAUUAGCUAAUACCGCAUAUUAUUCGUGCGUCCGAUAUCUGCUUAGCUAGUUGGUGGGGUAAAGGCCUACCAAGGCGACGAUCAGUAGCGGGUCUGAGAGGAUGAUUCGCCAACCGUGUACUGAGAAACGGCCCAGACUCCUACGGGAGGCAGCAGUGGGGAAUUUUGGACAAUGGGCGCAAGCCUGAUCCAGCCAUGCCGCGUAUCUGAAGAAGGCCUUCGGGUUGUAAAGGACGUGUGUCAGGGAAGCGGUACCUGAAGAAUAAGCACCGGCUAACUACGUGCCAGCAGCCGCGGUAAUAC
rnacentral:rRNA from 1 species